CAAGAAAUAGUUUAAAUUUUAAAAAUAUUAAUUUUGGGAAUUAAUGAUAAAGUAGUUUCUUUUUUCUUGA
rnacentral:tRNA from 1 species